rnacentral:rRNA from 1 species
GAUGAACGCUAGCGGCAGGCCUAAUACAUGCAAGUCGAGGGGUAACGUGUUCUGCUUGCAGAAUGACGACGACCGGCGCACGGGUGCGUAACGCGUAUGCAACCUACCUUAUACAGGGGGAUAGCCCAGAGAAAUUUGGAUUAAUACCCCAUAGUACUCAUGAAUCUCAUGAUUUAUGAUUUAAAACUCCGGUGGUAUAAGAUGGGCAUGCGUUAGAUUAGCUAGUUGGUAAGGUAAUGGCUUACCAAGGCGACGGUCUAUAGGGGGUCUGAGAGGAUGAUCCCCCACACUGGAACUGAGACACGGUCCAGACUCCUACGGGAGGCAGCAGUAAGGAAUAUUGGUCAAUGGAGGCAACUCUGAACCAGCCAUGCCGCGUGUGCGAAGAAGGCGUUCUGCGUCGUAAAGCACUUUUAAAUAGGAAGAAACGCUCUUUGCGAAGAGCUAUGACGGUACUAUCAGAAUAAGGACCGGCUAACUCCGUGCCAGCAGCCGCGGUAAUACGGAGGGUCCGAGCGUUGUCCGGAAUUAUUGGGUUUAAAGGGUACGUAGGCGGAUUGAUCAGUCAGAGCUGAAAUCCUAUGGCUUAACCAUAGAACUGGCUUUGAUACUGUCAAUCUUGAGUACGGUGGAGGUAGGCGGAAUUUAUGAUGUAGCGGUGAAAUGCAUAGAUAUCAUAAAGAACACCGAUAGCGAAGGCAGCUUGCUGGACCGUAACUGACGCUAAUGUACGAAAGUGCGGGUAUCGAACAGGAUUAGAUACCCUGGUAGUCCGCACCGUAAACGAUGCUCACUCGUUGUUGGCGAUAGACAGUCAGCGACCAAGCGAAAGCGUUAAGUGAGCCACCUGGGGAGUACGAUCGCAAGAUUG